rnacentral:misc_RNA from 1 species
GAUGAAGAACGUAGCGAAAUGCGAUAAGUAAUGUGAAUUGCAGAAUUCAGUGAAUCAUCGAAUCUUUGAACGCACAUUGCGCCCAUUAGUAUUCUAGUGGGCAUGCCUGUUCGAGCGUCAUUAAGUCCACUUAAGCCCUGCUUAGUGUUGGGAGACUGCUCCAGCGGUGCUACCCUGUAGCUACCCUGCAGCUCCUCAAAGACAGCGGCGGAGUUGUGGUAUCCUCUGAGCUUAGUAACUUGUUCUAGCUUUCGAGUACACCACUUCCCCUGCCGUAAAACCCUUAAUUUUUAAUGGUUGACCUCGGAUCAGGUAGGAAUACCCGCUGAACUUAAGCAUAUCAAUAAGAGGAGGA